CUACGGGUGGCAGCAGUGGGGAAUAUUGGACAAUGGGGGCAACCCUGAUCCAGCCAUGCCGCGUGUGUGAAGAAGGCCUUCGGGUUGUAAAGCACUUUCAACAGUGAGGAAAGGUUAGUAGUUAAUACCUGCUAGCUGUGACGUUAACUGUAGAAGAAGCACCGGCUAACUCCGUGCCAGCAGCCGCGGUAAUACGGAGGGUGCAAGCGUUAAUCGGAAUUACUGGGCGUAAAGCGCGCGUAGGUGGUUUGUUAAGCGAGAUGUGAAAGCCCCGGGCUCAACCUGGGAACUGCAUUUCGAACUGGCAGGCUAGAGUACAGAAGAGGAUAGUGGAAUUUCCAGUGUAGCGGUGAAAUGCGUAGAGAUUGGAAGGAACACCAGUGGCGAAGGCGACUGUCUGGUCUGAUACUGACACUGAGGUGCGAAAGCGUGGGUAGCAAACAGGAUUAGAUACCCGUGUAGUC
rnacentral:rRNA from 1 species